rnacentral:lncRNA from 1 species
AGUACCCCUUCUAGAUCCUCCCAAAAUUUUACCUUAAAUUGUUCUGCUAACCCAACCUGAGGUGCAUACCCACUAAUAACAUUAAAGGUGUCCUGUCCCACUACCAAUUUUAAGGCUAUGAUACGAUCUCCUACUCUUUUUACAUCCACGACAUCCUUCUUCCACUCCUUGUCCACAAUAAUCCCUACCCCAUUUCUUGAUCUGAUUUUUCCCGUAUACCACAGCUUAAAUCCCGAGUUGUCUAAUUCUUUCGCUUUUUCACCUGUCCACUUAGUUUCUUGUAGGCACAUACAAUUGAUCUUCCUCCUCAC